UACGGGGGGGGCAAGCGUUGUUCGGAAUUACUGGGCGUAAAGCGCGCGUAGGCGGCUCUUCAAGUCGAGUGUGAAAGCCCCCGGCUCAACUGGGGAGGGUCACGCGAUACUGAUCGACUCGAAGGCAGGAGAGGGUAGUGGAAUUCCCGGUGUAGUGGUGAAAUGCGUAGAUAUCGGGAGGAACACCAGUGGCGAAGGCGACUACCUGGCCUGUUCUUGACGCUGAGGCGCGAAAGCUAGGGGAGCAAACGGG
rnacentral:rRNA from 1 species